CUCUAGCCGCACAACAUGCCGUAGCAGCCCUGCAGAUUACUGGGUAUUUCAAAUCGGAUACAAAAUUCGAAGGCGGAAAUAUAUUUGACCGAGGCGAGGAGAGAAAUUUGCCGCUCAGUUGUCGAAACCGUUAACCAAAUGCCCCGCAGCUAAGAUACGCGCAGAGAUAUUCGAUUUCACCACGAACCGGAGGGCGUGUGGCAAUAAUGCGAUUAAAUGUUAUAUUUUUAGAUGUCAGGUAUACGAGUGUGUAUGCUUCUUGUGCUUCCCAGAAGAACGGAGCUUAGAUGCUGUUUGUUCCCGCCGUUUCUGCUGAAUUCCGAAAGGUUUGGAUGGGCCAGAUCCAGUGGCAGGACCACUGGCCGUAUGCAUGAUGUGCAAUCAAAACGGCAUCAAUUGUCUCAUAAAUCAUGCCACCCGAAUGUAUAAAUUACACCCCGCAUAGAUCGCAGCAGAAGAACCGCAAUGCCUCGUCUAAUUCCUGGGAAUCGAAACAAAGGCGCAACAGCACAAAUCCCAACUCCGAAUUCGAUCCUAAGCGGCAAGCUGCGAUCCUUGAAAUAUUAAUAAAAGAACCUUCUUUUUUAUUUGUAUUCAGAUUUCGGACUGCGUUCGGCUUAUGGAACUGCUGCACCGCACCCAUUCGACUUCGAUGAUAAAGUGAUGAUGCCCCAAGGUUCCGAAAUUGCUUUCAAAUAGAUUCCGAGCCCCGGAGCUCAGCCACUUUGACUUCUGAAUUCAGGCAAAAGAGUUUAGCAUAUGAAUAAAGACGCACCGCCCCAAUGAUUCGUCUCGAUCCCCGUGACGGCCGAUCCGUCGAGUCCCCCCCCCCAAUUUAAAUGCAAAGCGACAAUGUGUGGUGAUAAUGCCUCGAUGAUGCAGCAUUUGCCGUGGGGGGGAGGCCAUGGGGAUGAGAGUGAUGAUGCCACCAUCAGUCGGCAGGGCAAAAUAAUUAAACGAGUAUCGUAAAACUAAAAUAUAAUGGAUUUAUGUAAAGUUAUGUUACACGCUCUGGCUGGAAAUGGACGCAAAUGCGAUAAGCCGGCUCACAACAAAUGGCAGCAAAUAAAUAAAAAAUCAUUAAGAGCUUCGGUUCGGUUCGAUUCGGCUCGGGCCUGUCCUAUUAUGGAUGGAUCCACAGACUAAAUACCGAAUAAAGCAUUGAGAUAGGCCCAAACAGAAUCGAGUUGAAACGAAAACCAGCUUAGGGGCGGUUCUGGCUUUUGAUGUAAGCCCACAAAUCAGUUAAACAAAUUUUUAUUUACCAAAAAAAAUACAAAAUAAUUUUCCGCAAAAUUCAUUCACGACCUGCGAUCAGACAAGACACAAAAGACACAACCGAAUGUGAAGAAAAAUUGGAGAUAUAAUUAUUAAAGGUGUUUUCGCCUUGAGUGGCUCCGCCUGGCAGCCGGGGAUGGACAUUGGUCACCAAUUAUGCUAAUACCUUGCUGAAAAUGUCUGCCUAAAAUCCAUAUUUAAAUUAUUAACACAGAAACCGCCAGCUAAGCGAAUUCCCCAUUCGGUUUCAAAAACCAACUGCUAGCCAGAUUGAACAUGUUCAACAUUAAUCUUGACUGAUAAAUUAAAAAAGAAUUAAUUAAAAUGAGCAAUCACUUCGGGCCG